CCUACGGGAGGCAGCAGUGAGGAAUAUUGGUCAAUGGACGAGAGUCUGAACCAGCCAAGUAGCGUGAAGGAUGAAUGCCCUAUGGGUUGUACACUUCUUUUAUAUGGGAAUAAAAUGUUCCACGUGUGGGAUUUUGUCUGUACCUUAUGAAUAAUGAUCGGCUAACUCCGUUCCAGCAGCCGCGGUAAUACGGAGGAUACGAGCGUUCUCCGGAUUUAUUGGGUUUAAAAGGAACGUAGGUGGAUUGUUAAGUCAGUGGUGAAAGUUUGCGGCUCAAACGUAAAAGUGCAGUUGAAAAUGGCAGUCUUGAGUACAGUAGAGGUGGGCGGAAUUCGUGGUGUAGCGGGGAAAUGCUUAGAUAUCACGAAGAACUCCGAUUGCGAAGGCAGCUCACUGGACUGCAACUGACACUGAGGCUCGAAAGUGUGGGUAUCAAACAGGAUGAGAUACCCCAGUAGUC
rnacentral:rRNA from 1 species